rnacentral:lncRNA from 1 species
ACAUUUGUUGACAGCAUAAACCAACCAGGUCAGACACCCUUUAUCUUUCUUCAAAUAGACUUAGAAUCCUGGUUUGACUUGGAGAUUUCACUGUGGCCAACUCCUUGAGGCAGGACCUGUCCACUUUGGGGAAGGAGUUCAUGUGGAUUUGGCCAGGGCCUUUUGGGGACUACAUCAGAUGUGGUGAGCCUUGUUCUUCACUUACUCCAAAGAGAUGUGUGAAAUGAGAUGCUUUCUGUGAGAAGAAUGAUUUCCUGAGACAGAAUGCCAAUGCAAGGCAGCCAACACAACCAGUUUCCUGCUUCCAGUAAGUAUUUGAUGAAUGUUUAUUGAAUGGAAUUUAAAGAAGGGUUUGAUUCUUGUUAAUGA